CAACUAUCUAAAAACCAGAAAAAUUAUCGUCUUGUUACGUACAUGUAUAAGUGGAGGUUAUGAAAGAGAUUUCACGAUUUCAAACCUACCAACGUUUUGUCGUGUAUGAAGAGUUGAGACAUUUAUUCUCUAUGUGACUUGUAAUACGAGUUUUGAUUGGUUAACAAACCAAGAGUAAAUUUUGAUACAUCCUUUUCAAGCCGGGGGGGGGGGGUGUAAAUAUUGUAACGUCAGAAUGCAUCAUCUCUUUAAUCGUGAAUUUCGCAGAUUUCAUGAUUCUUGAUUAGAGAUGUUGGCUUUUUGCUUAUUUUGAAGCACCUUGUACAAUACGAAGAAUACCUCACAUAUUAUCCUAUUUUAAAUCAGGGAAAUAGAUAGUAUUAUUUGUCAACCACACAUGAAUGGACCUGGAUGACAAAAUUUAUUUGCUUACAUAGUAAAUGAAUUCGUAAUCCAGACACAAUCAAUGGUGUACAGACAUUUACUCUGGGUUGCAUUCCAUGCACCAUUCGGCCUCAGGGUUUAUGGAGUACUGCAGCCCGGAGUAAAUCCCCGUGCACCCUUGAUUGGACCUGGAUACCGAUUAGUAUCUGCUGAGAAGAAUAGUUUGCUUUUUUAACAACUGUUUUAACAUUGAUAUCGGAAAUGUUAUAGGGUUGUGUUUUACGUUUAUGGAAAUUUGUUCACAUGAUAUCCCGAAUACAAAAUACAUGUAUAAUCUUUAGUACUUUACUAAGUAUACUGCUAAGGUCACUGGAUUUUUGCUCUAUAUAAGGCUUUCUAAAUUUGAGGAAAAUUAAUCUCGGUUGAAAUUCGGCUCGGCAGAAUAUUUGGACUGACACCUUCACCGAAUCUAGGAGCAGUCCUUCAUAAUUCAUGUCUGGAAAUUUACUUUCAGCUUUGAUCGGUUCUAGCAAUUAAUUAGGUGACACUGCUGUUCGACUCAAAUAAGUUAGUUGACUAUUAAACCAACUCUGUAUCACUAUCAGUGCUGCAUUACUUACCGUAUAAGUAUGUAAAUUCCAUAAAAUAAAAUCCCAGUUUACUUUCGGAAGGUCGCUGGGAAGAGACCACCAAACUUACGAAAGUAAACUGGGAAACUUUCUCACUUACCGGCAUCCCGCUCGCGUCGGUAAGUGAGAAAGUUUCCCAGUUUACUUUCGGAAGGUCGGUGGUCUCUUCCGAGGUACAUUGUAACUGGGUUCUCUCUUCCAUCAAUAAAAAACUGGGCGCCACCAGAUAACUGAAAAAUUGUUGAGUGUGGCGGAAAACAUCGAAACAAUCAAUCAAUCAAUCCAUUCAUAUGAUGUUUUCCAUGGCGCAAUAUUUUAUCUCCUAAAAUUGAAAACUUCCUAUAGGUUGUACUUUUAAAUUAGUGAUGUACAUAUGGGUAUGUAGAGAUACUAUGUAUCAGUAAUUUGAAUAAUCAACCAUUUUGGGGUGCCAAAUCUGGAUUUUUAUAUAUAUCUUUGACAGUGGUACACAACAAAACACACAAACACAUUUUUAUAGGCGCCGCCAUUACUGCUGAUACUUUGAGUUCCAGUAAUAUUUACGGCAAUUCCCAUUGGUCCUCGAUAGGUCACGUAAAGUCAUGCAUUUUAAUGAGUUAUGCGAAAAUAUCGGCGUUGUGUCCCAUGGGAGGUAAACUGAGUGCGACCGACCGUGGGUAUCCGACGAUGGAUUCAGCUAGGAGUCUUGGUACCAAAUGAAAGGCCUGGUCAUGAGAAAUUUACAUGUGGAAUAUCAGUACCCUAUCUCCCUUGGUUCAAAAGAUACAGCCAAGGUUAAGGUAGCUCCAUCCUCAUGAAAGGUGAAGAUAACGAACAGUGAUCAAUCUCAUAACUCCUAUAAGCAAUACAAAAUAGAGAGCUGGGCAAACACGGACCCCUGGCUAUACUAGAGAUGGGAUCAGGUGCCUAGGAGGAGUAAGCAUCUCCUGUAGACUGGUCACACCUGCCGUGAGCCUAUAUUUUGAUCAGAAAUCGCACUGGUACAGCAUCUAACAAUUUCAAAGACUGAGACCCCACUGACCCAACUGAAAAAGCAACAUCUAAAAUAGAACCAACAUCAGAGAUGUUGCAGACACCCAUGGAAGAGAGAGGUUGUAGCCCAUAUAAUACAUUGGUAGCUCCCGGACUAUGUGCUCCACGUGUCAAUGUUAAUAACGCUAAGGUAGGAGUCUCCUACAAGCUCCCCUGUGUAUUGUUUUCGGUAGUCACUGAGGCCUGGAUUAAAUGUCCUGACAGCUGGAGCAGCUGUCCUUGGACAGCUUGCUGUUGCACUAUGUGUUUUGCGACUUUUGCAUAGUCAAUCAUUGACACAAUAUUGCCAGUUGACAGAGAAUGAUGGUCUGGUUCUUUGGAAGGACCGAAUACUUCAUUGUUGUUCCUCGCCCUUUUGGUAUUUUCCUUGUUGCAGUUAAAAUGAAGAAUGGCUCCUUCAAUUUUGAACAAAAUGAAAAAACUGAGAUCCGCUCUACAAUUUACGUUUACUAAAUCCCGUGUAUACGUAAAGCCGAACGCGUGCAAAACACAAGCUAUCGUGUGCCUAACCAAGUCAGAGAUUGGCAACAAAACUUGAGGCCCCCAAUGGGGUAAAGUUUUGCGAGGUUCCAAAUAGGAUAACUGACACACAUCUACGCUUUAAACAUAAAUGUUAUCAUGUUUCACAACUCCGUUUACCUGAUCAAGAUAUAGGGCUCACGGCGGGUGUGACUGAUCGACAGGGGAUGAUUACUCCUUAAACACCUGAUCCCACCUGUUGUGUCCAGGGAUCCGUGUUUGCUCAACUCCCUAUUUUGUAUUGCUUUUAGGAGUUAUUAGAUUGAUUACUGUUCGUUAUCUUCACCUUCAUUGAUUUGUUUUAGAACAUCGUUUUCGUUUGCCUGACAGUCAUUUUUCAAACAGUGGGCAGCAUUGGUUUGACAAGUUGUUUUUCAACAUUUCCCCCUUGUAUUAUAUAAUCUUUGAGAAUAUAACAAAAGUACAUAACUCUUUCAUUGAAUUCAUUUGUAUUUCUAUACAAAUGACAAAAACUGAGAUCCUGAAACAAGGUCAAUCGUUAUCAACGCCGAUGUUCAAUAGAUAAUUUUAAAUAAUCAAUUGACAUACAAAACAAUUGGAAUGGGAGAGGUGGUGUCUUUCAACACAGAUAAACAAUAUCUGUAAAGAUUUAAUACGCAACUUCCGAGAUAUCAGCUCUUCUGUGACGGAGGUACGUUCAGCAUUCUGUUGAACGCUUGUUUAUGUACAAGAUGUAUACAUAUAUUAUAGACUAGCUAUGUAAAUAAGGAUAAAAGUUAUGUUUGAUAAUCGGCCUUUAGGCAUAUAUGAAGGCAGCAAUAAGCAUUUGUACCCACUGCGUGUGGACGAAAGUAUGUUUUGCAUCUCACUGUGCAUAAGAGUUCCAUAAUGGGGAAAAA